rnacentral:rRNA from 1 species
UACGUAGGUGGCAAGCGUUGUCCGGAUUUACUGGGCGUAAAGGGCGUGCAGGCGGUCUGUUAAGUUCAGGGUGAAAGCUCCCGGCUCAACUGGGAGAGGUCCUUGGAUACUGGCAGACUUGAGGGAGGUAGAGGAGAGUGGAAUUCCCGGUGUAGUGGUGACAUGCGUAGAUAUCGGAAGGAACACCAGUGGCGAAGGCGGCUCUCUGGGCCUUUCCUGACGCUGAGACGCGAAAGCGUGGGGAGCGAACCGG